rnacentral:rRNA from 1 species
GAUGAACGCUGGCGGCGUGCCUAAUACAUGCAAGUCGAGCGAACAGACGAGGAGCUUGCUCCUCUUACGUUAGCGGCGGACGGGUGAGUAACACGUGGCUAACCUACCUAUAAGACUGGGAUAACUUCGGGAAACCGGAGCUAAUACCGGAUAAUAUAUUGAACCGCAUGGUUCAAUAGUGAAAGACGGUUUUGCUGUCACUUAUAGAUGGAUCCGCGCCGCAUUAGCUAGUUGGUAAGGUAACGGCUUACCAAGGCAACGAUGCGUAGCCGACCUGAGAGGGUGAUCGGCCACACUGGAACUGAGACACGGUCCAGACUCCUACGGGAGGCAGCAGUAGGGAAUCUUCCGCAAUGGGCGAAAGCCUGACGGAGCAACGCCGCGUGAGUGAUGAAGGUCUUCGGAUCGUAAAACUCUGUUAUUAGGGAAGAACAAAUGUGUAAGUAACUAUGCACGUCUUGACGGUACCUAAUCAGAAAGCCACGGCUAACUACGUG